rnacentral:ncRNA from 2 species
AGAACUGAUAUUCCGACGGAUGAAAUGAGGGAGUAACGUCCUGAAGCGUCCGCCCUGAUACUCCGAAUAGCGGGAGGCAUGCAACGGUCUCCCCUACAAGAUUAUAAAGCUCGGUGAAGUCGGCAGAGAACCGCCGUCAGUCUGAUUUUCAGAUCAGAUACGAAAGCUGUCCAGAGGUGGAUGGUGCGGCCUAUAUGCCGGGGGUCA